AUUGAACGCUGGCGGCAGGCUUAACACAUGCAAGUCGAGCGGGGUGAUGGUGCUUGCACUAUCACUUAGCGGCGGACGGGUGAGUAAUGCUUAGGAAUCUGCCUAUUAGUGGGGGACAACAUCUCGAAAGGGAUGCUAAUACCGCAUACGUCCUACGGGAGAAAGCAGGGGAUCACUUGUGACCUUGCGCUAAUAGAUGAGCCUAAGUCGGAUUAGCUAGUUGGUGGGGUAAAGGCCUACCAAGGCGACGAUCUGUAGCGGGUCUGAGAGGAUGAUCCGCCACACUGGGCCUGAGACACGGCCCAGACUCCUACGGGAGGCAGCAGUGGGGAAUAUUGGACAAUGGGGGGAACCCUGACCCAGCCAUGCCGCGUGUGUGAAGAAGGCCUUAUGGUUGUAAAGCACUUUAAGCGAGGAGGAGGCUCUUUUGGUUAAUACCCAAGAUGAGUGGACGUUACUCGCAGAAUAAGCACCGGCUAACUACGUGCCAGCCGCCGCCGUAA
rnacentral:rRNA from 1 species